CUGCUCAUUUCAGCAUCUCAUAUGCUAAAAUUAGUAAGGUACGGAGAAAAUUAGCAUGGCCUCAGUGUAAGAAUGACCUUAAAAUUGGUGAAGUGUUACAUAUUUUU
ensembl:snRNA U6 U6 spliceosomal RNA